rnacentral:rRNA from 1 species
GAUGAACGCUGGCGGCGUGCCUAAUACAUGCAAGUCGAGCGAACAGACGAGGAGCUUGCUCCUCUGACGUUAGCGGCGGACGGGUGAGUAACACGUGGAUAACCUACCUAUAAGACUGGGAUAACUUCGGGAAACCGGAGCUAAUACCGGAUAAUAUAUUGAACCGCAUGGUUCAAUAGUCAAAGACGGUUUUGCUGUCACUUAUAGAUGGAUCCGCGCCGCAUUAGCUAGUUGGUAAGGUAACGGCUUACCAAGGCAACGAUGCGUAGCCGACCUGAGAGGGUGAUCGGCCACACUGGAACUGAGACACGGUCCAGCCCCCUACGGGAGGCAGCAGUAGGGAAUCUUCCGCAAUGGGCGAAAGCUUGACGGAGCAACGCCGCGUGAGUGAUGAAGGUCUUCGGAUCGUAAAACUCUGUUAUUAGGGAAGAACAAAUGUGUAAGUAACGAUGCACGUCUGGACGGUACCUAAUCAGAAAGCCACGGCUAACUACGU